AGCGAGUGGCGGACGGGUGAGUAACACGUAGGUAACCUGCCCCAAAGCGGGGGAUAACAUUUGGAAACAGAUGCUAAUACCGCAUAACAAUUUGAAUCGCAUGAUUCAAAUUUAAAAGAUGGCUUCGGCUAUCACUUUGGGAUGGACCUGCGGCGCAUUAGCUUGUUGGUAGGGUAACGGCCUACCAAGGCUGUGAUGCGUAGCCGAGUUGAGAGACUGAUCGGCCACAAUGGAACUGAGACACGGUCCAUACUCCUACGGGAGGCAGCAGUAGGGAAUCUUCCACAAUGGGCGCAAGCCUGAUGGAGCAACACCGCGUGAGUGAAGAAGGGUUUCGGCUCGUAAAGCUCUGUUGUUAGAGAAGAACGUGCGUGAGAGCAACUGUUCACGCAGUGACGGUAUCUAACCAGAAAGUCACGGCUAACUACGUGCCAGCAGCCGCGGUAAUACGUAGGUGGCAAGCGUUAUCCGGAUUUAUUGGGCGUAAAGCGAGCGCAGGCGGUUUGAUAAGUCUGAUGUGAAAGCCUUUGGCUUAACCAAAGAAGUGCAUCGGAAACUGUCAGACUUGAGUGCAGAAGAGGACAGUGGAACUCCAUGUGUAGCGGUGGAAUGCGUAGAUAUAUGGAAGAACACCAGUGGCGAAGGCGGCUGUCUGGUCUGCAACUGACGCUGAGGCUCGAAAGCAUGGGUAGCGAACAGGAUUAGAUACCCUGGUAGUCCAUGCCGUAAACGAUGAGUGCUAGGUGUUGGAGGGUUUCCGCCCUUCAGUGCCGCAGCUAACGCAUUAAGCACUCCGCCUGGGGAGUACGACCGCAAGGUUGAAACUCAAAGGAAUUGACGGGGGCCCGCACAAGCGGUGGAGCAUGUGGUUUAAUUCGAAGCUACGCGGAAGAACCUUACCAGGUCUUGACAUCUUGCGCCAACCCUAGAGAUAGGGCGUUUCCUUCGGGAACGCAAUGACAGGUGGUGCAUGGUCGUCGUCAGCUCGUGUCGUGAGAUGUUGGGUUAAGUCCCGCAACGAGCGCAACCCUUGUUACUAGUUGCCAGCAUUCAGUUGGGCACUCUAGUGAGACUGCCGGUGACAAACCGGAGGAAGGUGGGGACGACGUCAGAUCAUCAUGCCCCUUAUGACCUGGGCUACACACGUGCUACAAUGGACGGUACAACGAGUCGCGAACUCGCGAGGGCAAGCUAAUCUCUUAAAACCGUUCUCAGUUCGGACUGCAGGCUGCAACUCGCCUGCACGAAGUCGGAAUCGCUAGUAAUCGCGGAUCAGCAUGCCGCGGUGAAUACGUUCCCGGGCCUUGU
rnacentral:rRNA from 2 species